rnacentral:rRNA from 1 species
UACGUAGGGACCAAGCGUUGUCCGGAAUCAUUGGGCGUAAAGAGCGUGUAGGCGGCUUGUUAAGUCUUGCGUGAAAUCUCGGGGCUCAACCCCGAGCGGUCGUGAGAAACUGGCAGGGCUAGGAGUGCGGGAGAGGAGAGUGGAAUUCCUGGUGUAGCGGUGAAAUGCGCAGAUAUCAGGAAGAACACCCGUGGCGAAGGCGGCUCUCUGGAACGCAACUGACGCUGAGACGCGAAAGCUGGGGAGCAAACAGG